UCCCCAAAUUUGGGGAUUUUUGGGGCUUUUUUUUGAUUUUGGGAUUUUUUGGGGUGAAUUUGGGGGAUUUUGGGUCGUACCCAGGUGACUUUAAGAGACUCUUAGGGAGGAUUUUGGGGAUAAAAAAACCCCAAAUUUGGGGAUUUUGGGGGAUUUCUGUGGGGAUUUUUGGGGUGAAUUUGGGGGAUUUUGGGUUUUUUGGGGUGCCGAGGUGGAUUUUGGGGUGAAUUUGGGGGAU
rnacentral:lncRNA from 1 species